rnacentral:rRNA from 1 species
AACGUAGGUGGCAAGCGUUAUCCGGAUUUACUGGGCGUAAAGCGUGUGCAGGCGGCCCCACAAGUGGUGUAUGAAAUCGUCCGGCUCAACCGGGCGGGGUUAUGCCAGACUGUGAGGCUAGAGGCUGGAAGAGGGACGUGGAAUUCCGGGUGUAGUGGUGAAAUGCGUAGAGAUCCGGAGGAACACCAGAGGCGAAAGCGGCGUCCUGGACCAGCCCUGACGCUCAGACACGAAAGCAUGGGGAGCGAACGGG